AUGAGUCGAUGGCGCGCCGCUACCGCUGCAGGUCCGCAUGUUCGCCGGCGAACCUCCAUGGCAGACGGGAAGUCAUCAUACAUAGGCCCAAAGGACAAGCACCUCGACGAAGAAGCCAUCACCGGCAAGGCCUACAACAGAUCUAAACGCCCUCCCCCACAAGCACUGCAAAACCCAUCCUCCGCACCGGCGAUGGGAAACUCACCGGCGCAACGACGAAGAGGUAGGGGACAACAUAACUCGGGAAGCACAGCCGCUAAUGUCGCCUUGCCAACCGGCCAGAGUCGGGAACUCGUCGGAUCCCAGGAUCAACGAGGAGCAAAAUGGACUCGCCAUCCGCUGCUGCCACCAACGGAUGCAAGGCUUGAACUACCACCGAACGGCGGUAGAAGAACGCCGUCCACAAGCCGGCCACCGCAACGCCAGCAAGGGGGAGAAGGCUGGCGGAUUUAUUCCGCCGGAACAACGACGAGAACUCCACCACCACGUCGCCGCCGGGGCCUACCGCUACCCUAUCUACACAUUGGUGCAAGAGGAACGCGAUCCCCACCUCCUCCCGCCGCCGGAGCGGCCGGAGGAGGCAAGGAUCAGCGCCCUCGCCGGCGGAAAAGAGGGGAACUUGACGACUCUCCCUUUCGCCGCUCUCAACUGUAG
rnacentral:rRNA from 1 species